AUUUAUUUUUAAUCAUUAUAAUUACAAGAAUAAAUAUUUUGCUCUUCACCUUCUGAAGUAGAUGAUUAUAUGUUGUUAACAUAUUUAAUCUAUGAAUUGUAUGUCUAUUAUUUUGAGAAGCGGUUGAGUUGGUGUAAUUAUUUUUUUUUAUUUUUUUAUUUUAUAUUCUUUUCAUAUAAAGAUCUAUCUAUAUAUUAUUUAAUAAAUUAUUUGUAUUAUUAAAACCGCACAAAGUGCGAAUAAUUUAACUAGUAGAAAUUAAAGAAGAAGAAUUAAAUAGUAAUUCAUUGACUUCUGAAUUUAAGUAUUUUUAAUACUCCAUUCGUCUUAGUUAUGCCACACUUUGUAAUCAAUUGCUGGGAAUUACUGAGAGUAAACUUGUUUGAUGAUGAAACUGGAAGAGAAUACUUAUUCAAAAUGAAGUUCAAGAUUCUUGAAUGGGGAUGGCCAAGGCGAUGAUGCCAAACUUGACGAGGUGUUGAGGCAGUGGCAACUUGAACAGUAGUCUUAUUAACUGUGAAAUUGGGUCAUUCGCAGAGUCCAUUCCUAUUCCGACCGGAUACCAGCGAAGCCCGCG
rnacentral:lncRNA from 1 species